rnacentral:rRNA from 1 species
CCUACGGGAGGCAGCAGUGAGGAAUAUUGGUCAAUGGACGAGAGUCUGAACCAGCCAAGUAGCGUGAAGGAUGACUGCCCUAUGGGUUGUAAACUUCUUUUAUAUGGGAAUAAAAUGUUCCAAGUGUGGUAUUUUGUAUGUGCCAUAUGAGUAAGGAUCGGCUAACUCCGUGCCAGCAGCCGCGGUAAUACGGAGGGUCCGAGCGUUAUCCGGAUUUAUUGGGGUUAAAGGGAGCGUAGGUGGAUUGUUAAGUCAGUUGUGAAAGUUUGCGGCUCAACCGUAAAAUUGCAGUUGAAACUGGCAGUCUUGAGUACAGUAGAGGUGGGCGGAAUUCGUGGUGUAGCGGUGAAAUGCUUAGAUAUCACGAAGAACUCCGAUUGCGAAGGCAGCUCACUGGACUGCAACUGACACUGAGGCUCGAAAGUGUGGGUAUCAAACAGGAUUAGAUACCCGGGUAGUC